rnacentral:rRNA from 1 species
GACCCUUUCGGGGGUGAGAGCGGCGGACGGGUGCGCAACGCGUAUGCAACCUGCCUUAUGCAGGGGGAUAGCCCAUGGAAACGUGGAUUAAUACCCCAUAGGUCAUAUUGUUCGCCUGGGCGAUAUGUUAAAGCUUCGGUGGUAAAAGAUGGGCAUGCGUGACAUUAGAUUGUUGGCGGGGUAACGGCCCACCAAGUCUGCGAUGUCUAGGGGUUCUGAGAGGAUGAUCCCCCACACUGGUACUGAGACACGGACCAGACUCCUACGGGAGGCAGCAGUGAGGAAUAUUGGUCAAUGGGCGCAAGCCUGAACCAGCCAUCCCGCGUGAAGGAAGACUGCCCUAUGGGUUGUAAACUUCUUUUAUGUACCAAGAAUGUGAGCUACGUGUAGCUUUUUGACGGUAGUACAUGAAUAAGCAUCGGCUAACUCCGUGCCAGCAGCCGCGGUAAUACGGAGGAUGCGAGCGUUAUCCGGAUUCAUUGGGUUUAAAGGGUGUGUAGGCGGCUUAUUAAGUCAGUGGUGAAAUCCUGCGGCUCAACCGUAGAACUGCCAGGGAGACUGAUAAUCGGGAAUAGAGUUGAGGUAGGCGGAAUGUGGAUUGUAGUGGUGAAAUGCUUAGAUAUUACUCAGAACCCCGAUUGCGAAGGCAUCUUACUAAACUAUUAUUGACGCUGAUGCACGAAAGCGUGGGGAGCGAACAGGAUUAGAUACCCUGGUAGUCCACGCCGUAAACGAUGAUAACUAGCUGUUUGCGAUACACAGUAAGCGGCAAAGCGAAAGCAUUAAGUUAUCCACCUGGGGAGUACGGUCGCAAGAUUGAAACUCAAAGGAAUUGACGGGGGCCCGCACAAGCGGAGGAACAUGUGGUUUAAUUCGAUGAUACGCGAGGAACCUUACCUGGGCUUAAAUGUAUUUUGUAUGAUUUGGAAACAGAUCUUUCCUUCGGGACUAAUUACAAGGUGCUGCAUGGUUGUCGUCAGCUCGUGCCGUGAGGUGUCGGGUUAAGUCCCAUAACGAGCGCAACCCCUAUCGUUAGUUGCCAGCGGGUCAUGCCGGGGACUCUAGCGAGACUGCCACCGUAAGGUGAGAGGAAGGUGGGGAUGACGUCAAAUCAGCACGGCCCUUAUGUCCAGGGCUACACACGUGUUACAAUGGCCGAUACAAAGGGCAGCUACCUGGUGACAGGAUGCUAAUCUCUAAAGUCGGUCCCAGUUCGGAUUGGAGUCUGCAACCCGACUCCAUGAAGUUGGAUUCGCUAGUAAUCGGAUAUCAGCAAUGAUCCGGUGAAUACGUUCCCGGGCCUUGUACACACCGCCCGUCAAACCAUGGAAGCUGGGGGUGCC